rnacentral:rRNA from 1 species
AUUGAACGCUGGCGGCAUGCUUUACACAUGCAAGUCGAACGGUAACAGGCCGCAAGGUGCUGACGAGUGGCGAACGGGUGAGUAAUGCAUCGGAACGUGCCCAGUCGUGGGGGAUAACGCAGCGAAAGCUGCGCUAAUACCGCAUACGAUCUCUGGAUGAAAGCGGGGGAGCGAAAGGCCUCGCGCGAUUGGAGCGGCCGAUGUCAGAUUAGGUAGUUGGUGGGGUAAAGGCUCACCAAGCCAACGAUCUGUAGCUGGUCUGAGGGGACGACCAGCCACACUGGGACUGAGACACGGCCCAGACUCCUACGGGAGGCAGCAGUGGGGAAUUUUGGACAAUGGGCGCAAGCCUGAUCCAGCAAUGCCGCGUGCAGGAAGAAGGCCCUCGGGUUGUAAACUGCUUUUGUACGGAACGAAACGGUCCUGGUUAAUACCCGGGGCUAAUGACGGUACCGUAAGAAUAAGCACCGGCUAACUACGUGCCAGCAGCCGCAGUAA